UGUUUGUUGCGGUACGUGCAUAUGGUGUGAUAUCUGAACUUCAGUGAGCUUGUAUGUCUAUCACAAUGACACAUCCAAACAUACUAUGUGUUGAGCCUGGACGUACAGGAUGUUUAUUUAGAGCAGGUGCUACCUACGCGAAUCCGAGUGUUACGUGAAUUAAUACACGUGCAACUUUAUAAGCUGAUAGACAGAAAUAGUUAGAAGGAGGUUACAUUAAAACUCCUGUGAUAACUAAACAAAUUACUACCUCUCUAUGGUUUAUAAGGGACGCAGAGGACCGAGUGGAGACGAGCCUAUACCGUUUGUUAAAACACACGCACACCUUUUCAGCUAAUCGUUUCAUAAGCUUUCCAGUGGGCUGUUAAUUUUUGGAAUCAAACAAACUCAUAGACAAUGUCAGUUGUAACUUUUAACGACAUACGGACGGACAGGAACUUAGUCCUAACAAAUAAAACUUGGGCGUGGCUUUUAUCCGAUGUUGAUAAUAUUUAUGUUGGAUCUAAAUAAGCUGGAGAGCACCAGGCAUACCAAAUUUUGCCGACGUUCAUUAAGUCGAUAUCGAAAUACACGCAUACAACAACGAAAUACAUGCGUCAUAUUUAUGUUUUUGUGCAUCAUUUGUAUAAAUCUUUUGCUCGAGUUAUCGUGUACGAGGGUGAACGGGCAGGCAUAGCUAAAUCGACUCCUCUCAUCAUUCUGACCCUUCUGGUAUAGAUACAUGUGUCUACAUCUAUCUUAAUUCCUGUAUGCUGUUACAGAAAAUAUUUAAGUGAACAAAAAAUACAGUUACACAUUCCAUACAAAUAUAGAUAUAUAGAAUUUAUAGAGAAUUAAUGAAUUUUCUUUUCUUAUAUUAUACAUUUGAAAGACUCAUUACACCUUUAUGUGUAGAAUAUGGCAUCGCCCAAAUAUUAGUUAGCAAAAAUCUUCUUAAAAUUCGUAUAAAUUUUUAAGUUUAACUAAAGACACGAAAAUGUUGUGAAGUCGUUUUAGGCUGUAUUUCGUUUUAGUUGUAAAUAUCCUUGUUAAAUUAUAGUUACUUU